rnacentral:misc_RNA from 1 species
UUAAGUUCAGCGGGUAUCCCUACCUGAUCCGAGGUCAACCUGAGAAAAUUAGGGUUGUUGGCAAGCUACCCACCGGUCUCAAUCGCGAGGAGUAUUACUACGCGUAGAGCCGACAGGCACCGCCACUGAUUUUAGGGGCCGCGAGACCGCGAACCCCAAUACCAAGCAAAGGCUUGAGUGGUUAUAAUGACGCUCGAACA